rnacentral:rRNA from 1 species
CCUACGGGAGGCAGCAGUGGGGAAUAUUGGACAAUGGGGGCAACCCUGAUCCAGCCAUGCCGCGUGUGUGAAGAAGGCCCUCGGGUUGUAAAGCACUUUCAGUGAGGAAGAACGCCUGGUGGUUAAUACCCAUCAGGAAAGACAUCACUCACAGAAGAAGCACCGGCUAACUCCGUGCCAGCAGCCGCGGUAAUACGGAGGGUGCGAGCGUUAAUCGGAAUUACUGGGCGUAAAGCGCGCGUAGGUGGCUUGAUAAGCCGGUUGUGAAAGCCCCGGGCUCAACCUGGGAACGGCAUCCGGAACUGUCAAGCUAGAGUGCAGGAGAGGAAGGUAGAAUUCCCGGUGUAGCGGUGAAAUGCGUAGAGAUCGGGAGGAAUACCGGUGGCGAAGGCGGCCUUCUGGACUGACACUGACGCUGAGGUGCGAAAGCGUGGGGAGCAAACAGGAUUAGAUACCCGAGUAGUC